UUGAGCACAUAAGGAAGAUCCCUGUAUCAUUAAUUAAAUAAAUCAUUACUUUCAAAUUUUAAUUUUUAAUUUUAUUUUCAAUGUUAAAUAAUAAAUGUUAUGUUUUAACUCUUAAUAAAAUUAUUUAAUUAAUAUUUAAGAAAUUUAUAUUUCAGAUAAUGAUAUUACUUGAGAUACCGUAAGCUCGAUUGAGGCUGAAACCGUUCUCCAUCGAAUUGUAUGAGAAAUUUUUCUGGAUACAACAUCACUAACAUUGCUAAAUCUUCUCCGCGCCGAAUCAACUACAUGAAAAGGUUGUCCUGCAUUUCCAGAAUUGUCUUCCAAGCCACGUAAAGAUCCGACGAAUCCAGACAUUGAAGGAUCUUCCGUGGAGAAUUCCUGCCAUUCAGGUUUUUCAGGCUUGAAAAAUU